rnacentral:rRNA from 1 species
GACGAACGCUGGCGGCGCGCUUAACACAUGCAAGUCGAGCGAGAACCAGGGCUUCGGCCCUGGGGACAGCGGCGAACGGGUGAGUAACACGUGGGUAAUCCACCCUCGGCACCGGAAUAGCCCGGGGAACCCGGAUUAAUGCCGGAUGGCCCGCCGGCCCUGCGGGGUGGGCGGAAAAGGUAGCUUCGGCCUCCGGCCGAGGACGAGCCCGCGACGGAUUAGCUUGUUGGUGGGGUAACGGCCUACCAAGGCUGCGAUCCGUAGCUGGUCUGAGAGGACGAUCAGCCACACUGGGACUGAGACACGGCCCAGACUCCUACGGGAGGCAGCAGUGGGGAAUCUUGCGCAAUGGGCGAAAGCCUGACGCAGCGACGCCGCGUGAGGGAAGAAGGCCUUCGGGUUGUAAACCUCUUUCAGGAGGGACGAAGCCACUCGGGUUAAUAGCCCAGAGGGUGACGGUACCUCCAGAAGAAGCCCCGGCUAACUACGUGCCAGCCGCCGCAGUAACAC